UGCGCGGUUAGUAUAUCGGUAGUAUGGAGCCUUCCCAAGGCUCAGAGGCGGGUUCAAUUCCCGCACCGCGCAU
rnacentral:tRNA from 1 species